UGAGGGGACAUCAGUGGAGAUGCCUGAUGAGGAAGAGGCAGGACUCAGUAAGAAAUCAUAAUCUUUUUGUCUUAUAGAUUCCCAUGAGUUUUGGCAUGACUGGUCAAACAAUCAAGCAUUGUGGUGUGAUUUCUGUGGGGAUCCACCAAUCCAAGUCUGUAGAAUACGAUUUAUAGGCCUGCACAUCUCAGCAUUGCCAUAAUGCUUAAUGUGGAAUGGCAUUUUGAUGGCUUCCACAUGCCUCUGCCACCAACAGAAGCUGCAGAAGGGGGCUAUUCCCACCACACAUGCGGUACUAUAUACAUAUAAUCUUUUUAUUUUCUUUACAAAACUCUAUUUAUUUUUGGCAUCUUGAAAAAAGACCCCUAUCUAAUUUUGGAAUUUUUAAACCUCUCUUUUCCUUUUGUUGCUAGAAUAUUGCCAAUGGAAAUGCCACACCAGAUUUGUGACUCCCCCCCAGAGAAUGUGUCUGUCAUUGCUGGGCGGCCUGUGGUGUUCAUCAACAUGAAAGGACGAGAUGAUCUGACCCUCCCAGAGCUGUGAUGUGGUGGCUGCUGUGCCAGCUGGACCCCAGGGCUGUACCAUGUCCAAGUCAGUGGCUACUGGCCUGCCACCAUCCAUUUCCAUACCAUCUAUGAUGUAGCUAUGAUUCAAGCUUUACGGGAGAUGAAGUUGGCUGCUCCAGGGAUUUCCCACCUGACCUUUAUGAGAAUGCUGGAAGCACAAACAACAGUGUAUGGCAGGACUGGUAAAGUUUGCUCAGACACAUUUUUCCAGAGCUUCAUGGAGCGGGUCAUCAGCUCCUACGAAGUGGACAAGUUGUGCUCAGAGCAACCAUUCGUCUGCACAACCUGUCCCCUCAGAUGUUGGCUGUGUCUGUGGAUGGAAACAGGAAGCACUACUGCUUCAAAAAGGGUGGACAGUCAGUGUAUAUUUCAUGUUUCAUGGUCUAGGCAUGUCCAUGUCUCAGCUCUCAUUUGUUACACCACUCUGAGGAAGGGGGUUAUUUUGACGGUGUGCUCAUCUGCAAGGAUAACGAGGUUGCAGUAUUUGCGGACGACCUCCAAAAGAGGGCCAAGCAUUUGCCAGGUAAAGGUGUUUGUGGCAGGUCUCAGCUGAACGCAGCAAAGGAGACAACAAGCAAGAGGGCUUGUUCCAGCCUUGAUGAGCAAGGUCUAAAGUAGCAGUGUGCCGUCGUGGCAUUAUCCUUCGGGCCCUGAAUAUGUACAGGCAA